rnacentral:misc_RNA from 1 species
CAUUUGCUUUCUCAACACUGCAUCUACUAUGCCACUCACACUAUUCAAAGCCCCAUAAUUGUUAGAAUCUUGAAUCACCUUUAACCUCUCGAUUAUGGAACAAGCGUUUCUGAAUUGCGAAAGCAAGCGAGAUCGAUGAUGGUCCCAUUUGUCCAUUUCUUCUUUGACCUUUCUGAAUCUCUGCUGAUAUUUUUUCACAAUUGAUUCCAUAGCGGCUUCAAAACCCUUCUUCUGCUGCUUCUGCAACCUCUGUUUUCUCGCUCCAAAACCUUUCCGCCGCCGGUUUCUAGCAAAUGCAACGGCACCGUUUCUUCAAAUCACAAAUUACUCCUCUAAAGUUUUUGAAUUUAC